UACAUUUGAGAAUGAAGCUCAGCUGAAGUUUGAACAGCAUACUGACGUAUACCAACAAGAAUGAAAAUAACUUAACAGCAAUUUUAUAAAUUCACAUCCCCCAGAGCACCACAGAGUAAAGAAAUACUGCAUAUGGGUAACAACUGGUUCUUAGUUACUAAAUCUGAAAGAUCAAAUACAGUUAAUUACAUAAGCUUCUCUUGAGUUUUUCUGGGGGAAUAUACCAGGAGACCAUAAUCAAGCAUCACCAGUGGCAUUUCAUACUGGUCCCAUGGUGUUAAUCCAGGUUUCUGGUAUUGCACUAAACACGAUGAAAAACAGGAGAGAACGGAGAGGGAUCAUGUUUUACCACAAUAUGCAAUUUAUGGGAGAGAUGAAGCGCUCAGGUGGAGAUGACUAGUGUCACGUGGUGUUUUAAGUGGAUACUCACAACGCUGGAACUCACAGCAAUAACAACAAGAGAUCCUCUAUAGACUGUUGAUGUAUAGCCAUGAGAAAAAAAAAAGAAAAAUUUUUGCUCUCAAUGAGCUUGCAUUUAAGCAUCUAUAAAAUUCUCCUUUAAGACCCAGAGUGCAGGAGGGAUAACUGAUAUCAAAAUUCCAAGGAAAGGAUGAAAAAAGUAGGAAGAAAACCCCAAGAGUCAGCUAUUAUAGGACAUGAAUUCAGUGAUAUUAAUGAAAGAAUUUGUGGAAUUGGUGAGAUUAAUAUUUACUCAGUGAACUUUGAGUAAAGCAUUGGGUGCUUCAUUAUGUGGAGGAGUCUCAUCCAAUCAGUUGAAGGUGACUGAAUGGAACUAUAGAUCGACCUCACAUAAAUGAGAGGGAAUUCUGCAACAGAUCAUCUUUGCCUUUGAACUGCAGCAUGGACUCCCCUCUGGGUCUCCUGCCUGCCAGCCCACCCUGCAGAGUGCAUUUGCCAGCCUCCACAAUCAGGUAAUUUAUCCUGUGCAUUAACAAGAGGAAGUCUAGAGCCAUGGAAACCAAGUCAGGAAACUUCUCUCUUAUUAUUAGGUCCACUGCAAAUCUAGUUGAGACUGCAAAUCGAGCUAAUGAUAUCUUAAGUUAGAACAUCAUGCCAAGAGAAGUAUGUUUUCAACCAAGAAAGCAAAAUCAACAUGAUCCUAAAUGAACUGCUUCUGCAUGUCAACAGUCUUGAUAUACCUGAGAGAGUGAGAUACAGAGUAUGU
rnacentral:lncRNA from 1 species